GGCUGUUCCACUGGAUGUCAUAAGGUGCAUGCACCAAUUUGUAAGUCGCUCUGGAUAAGAGCGUCUGCUAAAUGACUUAAAUGUAAUGUAAAUGUAAAUGGACGAUGAGCAUUGAUACGUUUUAUCUGUAAUUUCUCUUCAUUAUGACAAGGAUUAAAGAAGGAUUUGCCUGUAGAUUGUCACCUUUAUUCAUGAUGAUGACUGCUAGCUAAGAUUUUCAGUCCAAUCAAAGCGACUGUAGAUAUACUGUGAUUUGACUUCAUUUUAUUUGUGGCUAAUGACCUUGAGCCUUCUUGGAUGGGCACUUCUAAUGUAACUCUUUGGCAGCACCCAAGGGGCUAGAAUUAUUUUGCUUUACCCUUAGACUUGGCGGUGACGUUGUAUCCCCAUGAGUGACAGAACACUGAGCCAAUCAUGGCGCAACGCUCCAUAUUUUCUGCUGGCUUGCCCCACCACCAUUGAAAGCACUGAGCUAUGCUGAAACACCUCCAUUUUGGAGCUGCCUUAUUCAAGAAAACAAAAGAGACCAACUUUUUAUGUGGCUCAAUUAUAUAUAUAUAUAUAUAUUGACAUUGUUUGCAAACUGAUAUGUAUUAAUGCAAAACAGGCAAGCUAUAAAUGUGGCGUUCAGAGCCCCAGCUGCCCUGAACGACGGGUCGCCCCUGCUACUAUAUAUACACUUCUCUAAACACUAUCACACUAUCCAAAUGUGUCUCCUCUGUGUGAGAAGCCAAACAGUCUACCAAGAGGUCUGGCUGCACCCUAUAACCAUAGUCCCAAAUCCCACGAUUCCCUCUCAAUCACAACAUUGGUGGCAGCAGUGGGAUAAUAUCUCAGGUCUUCUCAGGUUAGUUAACAUUUACAAAGUGAAAGUCUUAGGGCAAUGAGUCUGCAGUAAUGAACAGGUAAAUGAGCCACUGGAUGGCAAUGUUCACGCCAUCCUUCCAUUAUCUGGGACUACAUUUCCAAACACCCAGAGAUAUUUUAGUGAGCCUCCUGGCCCAUUCACUAGACGUUUUUGAUAGGACAAGGGCGUAUUCAUUAGCCAAUUCUGUUUCAAAACGGAAGCAUACUGAACGAAACUGGGAGGGACUUACAUGAAUGUGUCCAAAAGAAACGUGCAACUGUUUGGACUAAUGAUUACACCCCAGGGCUAGAAGAUUACCUAGUAAAGGAGUUGGAACCUGUCCUUGACCAGAAUAGUAUUGUCUUUCCGCAGGACGUGGAGCGCAUCAAAUGGUUUCAUAUUUCUACUCAACUCCACCCCUCGUGCGAUGUUUAUGUUCAGGAUUGUUUAUGGCUGGUGACCAUGUUGUUCUGCGAACCAAUGUGUCGGUCUCUGACUUUUACGUUGGUGGCAGCAUGUCCAAAUGUUCUCGACCUCUCCCUGCGCUUCAACCACGAAAGAGGUGAAUUAGCACUCGAAGCAGUGGACUCUAGUUGUUAACCCCUUUAGCAAAGUGCGGGUUCAGCGCCAAUGUAACAUCUCCAUACGACGUAUAGACCCGCACGCUUUUCCCGAGGCGAACCGGGCCUUCAUCACCAUUCACGGUACCAGUGCAGAUCAGGGCGUCAAACUAGACAACUUUCAGGUUCUCUACGAUGACCAAAACAAGGAACUGUUUAUCAUGUCCAAGAAAGUCAACAAUGUGACAGUUGAGCUGACAACUCCCAUUAAAAGUGUUGAGUGUUUUGGUUUGUGAUGUUCAACCACGAGUUUAGAGCCACUGUUUGCAUCAUGAAUCAAAGUAGGCCAAUCAGAGAAUAGCUCUUAGUUGUACUAACUGUACUAGGAUCAGACUGUCAGCUGAUGCUAAUAAUUACAUCAUUGAUCUGAUGACCCGUAACCAAGCACUUCCCCUAUCUCUUAUAAAACCAGUGAUCAGAUAGAUAUCACAUGUCCUACACAGAGUGUGUGUGUCAGACCUUUACAUCACCACUCAAGGAGAGGGCAAUGUGCGUGUCAAGAAGAUGGAGUGUGAUACCUGAAGGUUGGAGACAGAGAGUGGAAACUGUGCUGCACGCAGUCAAAAUAAAUAUGAAUGGGAUUAAAGCUGUACUGUCAAGAUAAAUAUGAAUAAGAUUAUAUGACUAAAACUACAGCCACGUCGUCUUGUUAUAAUGCCGGAGCCCCUUCUCCCUCUGUGAAUGCAAGUAUAAGGUGUCCUGGAUCUUGUCGGGUCGUCCGAUUGGCUGCAGCAGCUGGCCAAGACUGUCAUAGCCGAACCAUAGACCAUGUUGAUGGUGUUGAGCUGUGGGCAGCCUGUCUGUAGGAAGCGUGGUGUGCGAUCAGUCAGCAGAACACAGCCACUCACGUCCAGCUCUCUCAGGAAGUGACGCCCUACUGUCAGCCCGUCUGGCCUCCGUGAGUUUGACCAGUUCAACAACAGCCCCCACUUCUUCAUCUAUGGCGUUCUAGAAGACCUCUAUUUCCUGUCCCUGCUAAGGCUGGGUGGAAACCCCUGGGUCUGUAACUACAGCAUCCACUACCUGGUGUACUGGCUACGUCUGCACCCAGGGGUGACCCACUCUGGCCUGCUGUGCCACCCCCCUUCCAUGCUUGGAGUAAAGAGUGUGGAGGACUACGUCCACUCCUACAACAGAGCCUGCGGCUAGACAGAACACAAUCAGACACAAUACGGCCCGAAAGAUUACAGCCAGACAGAUCCGGAGUUGUGGAACACUGCUAUGGUGUUGCAGGGGGAGCUAGAGGAGGAGGAGGUGGCACAUCUGAAAGGACUGCCGAAAUACUGCAUCACUAGAUUGAAUUAAACAACCACCGAAGGAUGGAAUGACUGACAUCUUAAACAUCUUUAAAGAGCGACUGCCUUUAAAAAGCAAUGAAUCCCUUUGAAAAUUACAUUGAUAUGAAUCAGAAACAGUUAUUCUAGUGUCAAACUUGACUACAAAGUGUAAAUAGGAACAUUUUGGUCAUAAAGUCUUGUCGAAAACGGAGUUUGGAAAAUCCAUGCGUUAUAACAGGUAAAGUAAGUUUGGGUUUUGAUUUGACAAUGUCCAUUUGUCUACUACCAUGGGGUGAACAACUGUGGUGAUUGCUCUCUAUCCAAUAUAAUAGACAAACCUGCUCAGCAGUGCCGACUGUUUACAUAAGACAACAUGUCCUGCAUUGUUUUACUUGAGAAAUACUGCAAACACCUUAGUUACAGUUGGAAGUUUACAUACACCUUAGCCAAAUACAUUUAAACUCAGUUUUUCACAAUUCCUGACAUUUAAUCCUAGUAAAAAGUCCCCGUCUUAGGUCAGUUAGGAUCACCACUUUAUUUUAAGAAUGUGAAAUGUCAGAAUAAUAGUAGAGAAUUAUUUAUUUCAGCUUUUAUUUCUUUCAUCACAUUCCCAGUGGGUCAGAAGAUGACAUACACUCAAUUAGUAUUUGGUAGCAUUGCCUUUAAAUUGUUUAACUUGUGUGAAAUGUUUUGGGUAGCCUUCCACAAGCUUCCCACAAUAAGUUGGGUGAAUUUUGGCCCAUUCCUCCUGACAGAGCUGGUGUAACUGAAUCAGGUUUAUAAUCCUCCUUGCUCGCACAUACUUUUUCAGUUCUGCCCACACAUUUUCUAUGGGAUUGAGGUCAGGGCUUUGUGAUGGCCACUACAAUACCUUGACUUUGUUGUCCUUAAGCCAUUUUGCCACAACUUGAAAGUAUGCUUUGGGUCAUUGUUCAUUUGGAAGACCCAUUUGCAACCAAGCUUUAAUUUUCUGACUGAUGUCUUGAGAUGUUGCUUCAAUAUAUCCAUAUAGUUUUAAUGCCUCAUGAUGCCAUCUAUUUUGUGAAGUGAACCAGUCCCUCCUGCAGCAAAGCAGCCCCGGCUUGCAAGCCUCCCCCUUUUUCCUCCAAACAUAACGAUAGUCAUUAUGGCCAAACAGUUCUACAUAUAUUUUUUUUUAUGACUCCAAUCUAAGUGUAUGCAAACUUCCGACUUCAACUGUAGAUGUAAAAUUGCGCAACUAUAGCAUCCUCGGCAAAAACAUCUAAAUUAUUUUCAGAUUUUUGAGAGUUAUCUUACAUUCAUUCUGGGGAUUUUGAAGAAGUGAAAUAGGGUUGGGGGAAUAACAUAAUUAACCAAACACGGAAUCGGGCUGGAAACACCUCCAAGACGAUCAGUGUGUUCAGUGGCUCUUUAAAUACUUUUUAGUCUUAUUUUAUAGAUAAUUUAAAUUUAGUCUGUAUCAGAUGGUGAAACUAACUUUGUUUUAACAUUUACAUUUACAUUUAAGUAAUUUAGCAGACGCUCUUAUCCAGAGCGACUUACAAAUUGGUGCAUUCACCUUAUUUUUAAUAUUGUUGUUCCUGCUUUGUCAGUGUUGUCUCAAUCAGAUGAUUUGGAAAUUACAGAAAUGUUAUAUUGGUAGAGUCAUUUGAAUGUACAUGUAGCUGUGAAAUGAAACACAAUCACAUUUACGUAAUUGUGCAUUUUUGUUGUAUGUGUGUUAGUGUGUGUGCAUGCUUCCAUGCAGGUAUGUCAUCUUUACACCCAUGCGUGUAUGUGUAUGUCUGUGUGUGUGUAU